GGCUGGUGCUCAUUGACUCUCGCUAUGUGGCGAUACCUCAGCGAUUUCUCGAGCUGGAUUACCUAUUGAUUUUCCUCCUUUCUUGCCUCCCAGGUUUACUCGGCUGGACAUUGUGUGUGUUUGGAUUUCUCAAGGAUUCUCCCCCGACUAACAUGGAUGUCCCACCAUUCCUUGCAGUUGAAGGUUGCUCCUUGGCGCAGUGAAUGAAGAACAUGCAGGGAUUGCUAAUGGGUUUGGGAAGCGUAGACUCUCUCCUCUCUCUGUGACCAUGCCGUGAUCGUGUCUGAGGGCCAGCAAUUUACUCUUCAGAUGCAUCAUUAGACUCCUUCUUUGCUUACUGUGGAUUGGAUAUUCCCAAGGAACCACACAUGUGUUAAGA